rnacentral:rRNA from 1 species
ACUCCUACGGGAGGCAGCAGUGGGGAAUAUUGGACAAUGGGGGGAACCCUGAUCCAGCCAUGCCGCGUGUGUGAAGAAGGCCUUUUGGUUGUAAAGCACUUUAAGCGGGGAGGAGGCUUACCUAGUUAAUACCUAGGCUAAGUGGACGUUACUCGCAGAAUAAGCACCGGCUAACUCUGUGCCAGCAGCCGCGGUAAUACAGAGGGUGCAAGCGUUAAUCGGAUUUACUGAGCGUAAAGCGCGCGUAGGCGGCUAAUUAAGUCGGAUGUGAAAUCCCCGAGCUCAACUUGGGAAUUGCAUUCGAUACUGGUUGGCUAGAGUGUGGGAGAGGAUGGUAGAAUUCCAGGUGUAGCGGUGAAAUGCGUAGAGAUCUGGAGGAAUACCGAUGGCGAAGGCAGCCAUCUGGCCUAACACUGACGCUGAGGUGCGAAAGCAUGGGGAGCAAACAGGAUUAGAUACCCUGGUAGUCCAUGCUGUAAACGAUGUCUACUAGCCGUUGGGGGAUUUGAUCCUUUAGUGGCGCAGCUAACGCGAUAAGUAGACCGCCUGGGGAGUACGGUCGCAAGACUAAAACUCAAAUGAAUUGACGGGGGCCCGCACAAGC